AACGAACGCUGGCGGCAUGCCUAACACAUGCAAGUCGAACGAGACCUUCGGGUCUAGUGGCGCACGGGUUCGUAACGCGUGGGAACCUGCCCUUAGGUUCGGAAUAACUCCCCGAAAGGGGUGCUAAUACCGGAUAAUGUCUUCGGACCAAAGAUUUAUCGCCUUUGGAUGGGCCCGCGUUGGAUUAGCUAGUUGGUAGGGUAAAAGCCUACCAAGGCGACGAUCCAUAGCUGGGCUGAGAGGAUGAUCAGCCACACUGGGACUGAGACACGGCCCAGACUCCUACGGGAUGCAGCAGUGGGGAAUAUUGGACAAUGGGCGGAAGCAUGAUCCAGCAAUGCCGGGUGAGUGAUGAAGGCCGUAGGGUUGUAAAGCUCUUUUACCCGGGAUGAUAAUGACAGUACCUGGAGAAUAAGCUCCGGCUAACUCCGUG
rnacentral:rRNA from 1 species